rnacentral:rRNA from 1 species
GUCCUAGCCGUAAACGAUGCAUACUAGAAGUAGGAAGGCUCAACCCUUUCUGUUUCGGAGCUAACGCGUUAAGUAUGCCACCUGGGGAGUACGCUCGCAAGGGUGAAACUCAAAAGAAUUGACGGGGGCCCCGCACAAGCAGUGGAGCAUGUGGUUUAAUUCGAUGCAACGCGAAGAACCUUACCUGGGCUCGAAAUGUAGAGGACUAGAUAAGAGAUUAUCUAUCCCGAAAGGGUCUCUAUAUAGGUGCUGCAUGGCUGUCGU